AUGCUUCCCUGCCCCCAUCUGCCCUGUGGGCGGCCAAGUCACCUGUCCCUGUCUCCUCUUCUUCUCUCUCUCUCCCUUUCUCCUUUUCUUUCUAGAUCCAACCAAUCCAGAACCAGUCUGGCACACUCGCUCACCCACCCACUCACCCACCCAUCCACCUGCAACCCACCUACCCAUCCAUCCAGACACCCUCCCAUCUACACACCUGUCCACCCCUCCACCCAUCCGUCCACCCCUCCACCUGUCAUGGUGACAGUUGGUCACCAGGCAGUGACAACUCAGGCCCUGGGCACUGUGACACUGAGGCACAGGACACAGAGGCCCCAGAAGGCCCCUAAGCCAGCAACCGUGGAAAGACACAGACAGGAGUUAGUAGGGGCAGGAAGGACUUGGGGGACGGGCGUUCCGGGCAGAGGGAACAGCCUGGGCCAGGCACUGCUGGAGGCCAAUCACAGUGACAGCAACAGCAACCACACUUGCCUUCCCCGCGCGGCCAGCCUCUCCGCACCGCCUCGCCGAGCCCCGGCAGGUACCCAGCCCAUUUCACAGACGGGGAGACAGAGGCCUGGAAGGCCAGAGGAGGAGGAGAUGGGCCUUGCAUGUCAACAGUCGGGCAGAGCCAGGGCCAGGACCCAGGCUGCCCCAGCCCCACCUGCCUGGGGCAAGCAGCCCCGGCUCCAGCGGGGGCCCCGGGAGACUUCCUCCCUGGGCUCCCCGACUGGGCCGGGAGGCCCCGGGAGGCCUGGUGGUGGUGGGGGCGGGGCGUGGGAAGGCUGCAAACUGGUUUGGGGCGGGCAGGCUUUCCUGUCGCUGCCGGUGGCCCCCCGCCUUUGUCCUCUGGUGUCACUGAAGAAUGCGGCAACAGCCUGGAUAAAGGCAGCUUUGUCUGCAGGCUUCGGAGGGGGUGGGGAGGAUGGCGAGGGGCGCCCGGCCAGGAAAGGGUUACUCCCGCCCUCCUGGCUGGCCCCACUUCUGGCUCUGCACAGGAAACACCGAUGCCCUGUGGACACCCACAUCCUCUGCGCUCACCUUCCUGCACUUCCUGACCGGGGCCAGCAGCUCCCCUUUCUCCUGGCCUCGGUCUCCUCAUCCGGGUAA
rnacentral:lncRNA from 1 species